GCCUUCGUGGUGUAAUGGUCAGCACACUCGGCGCGUAUUCGAGAGGUCCGCGGUUCGAAUCCCGGCGAUGGUA
rnacentral:tRNA from 1 species